UACGGAGGGUGCGAGCGUUGUUCGGAAUUACUGGGCGUAAAGCGCGUGCAGGCGGCCGACUAAGUCAGGUGUGAAAGCCCGGGGCUCACCUCCGGAAGUGCGCUUGAAACUGGUCGGCUAGAGUACGGGAGAGGGAAGCGGAAUUCCUGGUGUAGCGGUGAAAUGCGUAGAUAUCAGGAGGAACACCGGCGGCGAAGGCGGCUCUCUGGACGGUGACUGACGCUGAGACGCGAAAGCGUGGGGAGCAAACAGG
rnacentral:rRNA from 1 species